UACGGGAGGGAGCUAGCGUUGUUCGGAAUUACUGGGCGUAAAGCGCGCGUAGGCGGUUUUUAAGUCAGAGGUGAAAGCCCAGUGCUCAACACUGGAACUGCCUUUGAAACUGGAAAACUUGAAUCUUGGAGAGGUCAGUGGAAUUCCGAGUGUAGAGGUGAAAUUCGUAGAUAUUCGGAAGAACACCAGUGGCGAAGGCGGACUGACUGGACAAGUAUUGAC
rnacentral:rRNA from 1 species